CUUGAGAAGAUCCUGAACCUUACAACGCUCAGAAAAAGCCAUCUCCAAGGUUUUAAAAGAAGUAGCAGUUGUUGGAGAGGAGACUCUAAAGGGAGCCAUGGUCAAGUUGGACAGAAAGCACCAGGAAUUCAGGGAAUGGAGUCCAUCAGCCUGACCAGCAUACCUACCCUUGGUUAUUUGGCUAUAAAGGGAUUCCACUGAGGACAAUGA